rnacentral:lncRNA from 13 species
AUGUUGAGGAAGUACCUUUUAAAACCUAUGACUUACUUUGGGAAGUCUAUUAGCACAGCAGAAAAAAAGAAAAAAAGAACAUUCCUCACUUUGUGGCAUCCAGAAACACAGACACUGGCAGUUUUGCAAAGCAGCAACUCUUCAAAGAAUGGUGCUACUUCUUACCAUUGGUAUUGCAGCCCUGAUGACAUGCAGAUGGUCGAUUUCAGCUCAACAUGCAAAAGGAUUUUCAAGACAUUUGUGUUCAAGAUGAAAGAGCCUGGCAGCUUUAGGAUAGAGGUGAGCCCCAUCCCUGAAGACAUUCGAUCACAAUCUGGACCAGCACUUGUUGUAAAUGAGCUCAAGUAUGAGAUUUGGAACGGAGUGAUCUUUUGCAUUUUUGUCAAACUUGAGGUUCUUCAACUUGGAUCCAACCUCUUAUUUUUUGGCAGAUGAGAAAACAAGAAUCACACCAGUAGAGAUAUUUUUUUCCGAAGCCAGACAUCUCAUUAGAGCUAGAGAGGCCAGACUAGCAUGCCUCCCGUGAUCCAGUCUGAAGCUACUUUUAUUCACUGCUUAUCUUUGCUUUCUCUUCAGGCUUAAAGUAUAGAAAAUGGGUUCCUCAAUAUUUUGAUGAGAACAGUAACUAACAUUUACUGCAUAUAUACAAUGUGCCGAGUACUUGUUCUCCGUGUAUAUUAUUCGCAUUUAAUCCUCUGACAGGCUAUGCAGUAGAUACUGUUAUCAUUCUUGUGUGUAGAUAAGGAAACUGAGGAAGGAGAGGUCAGGGAAUUUGCUUUAGAUCAUGCAGUUAGUAUGAAUCCGAGCUGAGGUUUAAACAUACACUUUUAAGUGGAGGUGAAUUCCUGUGCUCUUAACCGUCACGUAGAUGCCUCCUGAUUGACAGAACUUUCUGUGGAAUCUAUGUGCAGUGAUGCAAAAAUUAAAACCUGCUGUAGUCUGAAAUUUCUAAUUUUGAGAUAAACAUAUUUUGGGUGUUACGUGACUGUCUUCUUUAUUAUCUGCCUCGUAAUAUCUGGAUAAUGGCUUCAGUUCCUUAAUUUAUGUUCAAACAAAAUCUGUACUUUUGUUAAAUUUUUGGGCUAACAGAAGGCUUACUAAUAAUGUAAGUAAUUUUUCUUUUUUUCAAAUC